rnacentral:rRNA from 1 species
AAAUUGAAGAGUUUGAUCAUGGCUCAGAUUGAACGCUGGCGGCAGGCCUAACACAUGCAAGUCGAACGGUAACAGGAAGCAGCUUGCUGUUUCGCUGACGAGUGGCGGACGGGUGAGUAAUGUCUGGGAAACUGCCUGAUGGAGGGGGAUAACUACUGGAAACGGUGGCUAAUACCGCAUAACGUCGCAAGACCAAAGAGGGGGACCUUCGGGCCUCUUGCCAUCAGAUGUGCCCAGAUGGG